GGAGGCGCGAGUUUGAGCGCCGCGCGCGCGCCGCUCUCCUCUCUGCUUUUCCCCGUUCCCUGGCGGCCCGCCCCCUCGGGCUCCCGCCAACCUCAGGGGCCUCGGCCUAGGGCCCCAGCACCCGCCCCUCGGAUGGGGUCUGUGCUCGCAAAAGGGAGGGCACGCCCUGUUUCUACAUCGAGAUAGGCGGAGGCGAAGGACCGCAACGAACACAUAGGUGGCAGAUGAGUGAUCCACACAGUUGAUCCAGCUUGUUACUUUCUUUCGAGCGUGUGACAUGUUGACAGCCACACUCUAACCAAAGAAGAUCAACUUGGGACCGGAACCGUCAGUUCACACCUCCCCUUUGCAAUGAGCUUCGAUGAACAUCGUGAUAAAAUCAGACUAUUGCUCUGAAUGUUGGCAGAC
ensembl:lncRNA